UACGAAGGGGGCUAGCGUUGCUCGGAAUUACUGGGCGUAAAGCGCACGUAGGCGGCUUCUUAAGUCGGUGGUGAAAUCCUGGAGCUCAACUCCAGAACUGCCUUCGAUACUGGGAAGCUUGAGUCCGGGAGAGGUGAGUGGAACUGCGAGUGUAGAGGUGAAAUUCGUAGAUAUUCGCAAGAACACCAGUGGCGAAGGCGGCUCACUGGCCCGAUACUGACGCUGAGGUGCGAAAGCGUGGGGAGCAAACAGG
rnacentral:rRNA from 1 species